ACAGUUGGUGGAACUUGUUCGGAAUGGCGAAUUGACUUCAAGUUUGUUAGAGUAACAGUUGUAAUUUUUUAAAUAUUACAAUUUAUUCAAUCAUUCCAUCUCAGUGAAGAAUUAAAAAGGAGUAGAAAACAUAGCGAAAAGUUAGCAGGUAACGAAAGGUUAUGUUUCGAGAUUUCUUCAAGUUAUAAUUCCUUCACAGUCAUUUCCUCAUUUUGAAUAAGAGUGAGUGGAUCAAGAGUUAUGAGGUUAUAUUACUUUACCUGUCUAUUUUUAACCAAUUCCCCAGGAGCGACAAUGCCAUCAUUAUCCAAAGCAGUGUGUUUCCACAUGGGCUGUCCGGUCACAGAAUCCAACAUGGGUCCUUGAAUUCUAUCGAAAGUUUGAUUGGGAUACCUCUUCAAUAUACACUUUGCAUUUUUAUAAACCAAACAUCGACCGAAACCUCUAUCAAUAGAGGCUUUAUUUAAUAUUAAAGCGUCUUCUAUAUCAUAACCGCUGUAACUCAUUACAGCUAUAGUAGCGUUUUGACCUGCUGGUAGUUUAUCGAAGUUUGUUAGUUCUAUAGUUUUAGUUGUAACCAUCGGUGCUUGCGGAUAAACGAGAUUAUACAGAAGAGUAUCCAUACGGUUUUUUUGAUUGUAACCAAUCGUACCUAAAAUAUUCGAUAAAAUAAUUGAAAAGGAAGGUCUACUGCCUACGAUAUUGUUCCGAACUCAUCCAGGACAUGAACCGUGAAGCCAGUUAUAUUAAAAUUUUUUUUAUAACUUAUUUACAGUGAGUGGUGUAUGGUUACAUUGAAAGAUAAGAAUCCGGAGAUUUAUGUAAAUAAAGACUUACCCCCAUCGGGAAUACAGGGUACAAAAUUAACUACAUUUUCUGGAUCACUGGAUUAUAAUCACAAUUAAUACCAUUUCUAUCCACAUUACUUCUAUUAUCUGAGAAUAGUAGUAAACAAUUUACGCUUUCCAAUAAUCAAUUUUGAAAUGUUUAACAAUAUUAUGAACCUUAUUUUGGUUUCUAUUAACCUUGUCCUCACGUCGGUUCAACUAAGUUCAUAUUGGCUUUUUAUGACCAUUUAUCACCAUUUAUGAUGAAUCGUUUUACAUUUUUACUGUUUUUCACUCAAUUUAUUAAAAAAAUUAUAAAUUAUGGUGCUUAUUUUUUUUGUGCAUUGGUUUUGGGAAAAAAUUUUAGAAUAAAAAUUUAUUUUAUUUCAAUUUCAUAUGAGCACAUCACCUUCUGAAUUUUAUCUGUAGUAAUAACUCUGCAUCUCAUUGUUCUGCCUGCAAAAUACCCAAACUCCUUCCAAAGGAUGCUAUUUUUCUGGGAGGCUUUUGCCGAAAUGAGCCGGACGUUCACAGAAUGGAUGAUAUGUUGCUCUACGGCUUGUUCACAUACAAUUGUCGUCUGCCAAGUGGUAUUUGACAGAGGAACUACCUAUCAAAAAACCAACCUCAAGUGUGUUAGAAAUAUUCCCUGUCAUCUGAAGAAGUUCCUCGGACUUCUAACUAUGAAUCUUUUAAUCUUUAGCCACCUAUUCAGUUUAUUGUUGACAUGGCAUCUUAUGAGACGACAGUAGGACUUUAAUCCAAAAUAUGGAGUCUUUACCCCGUUUUAAUAAGACUUACUGCUUCUUCAUUGCCUGGUGUACCUUGGUUACCUGCUUACAGUUACUUUGUUUCUGUUAGCCACUGCCUUUAGAGUUUGUAUACACUCCCAAGUUAGCUCAAACGUGCACUUAAUAGCCUUAAAGGCUUUCAAGGUCGCAUGGCUAUGGGAGAAAAUUCCAACUUAAUCGCGAUCUUAUCUAAACCAAAACGUUUUAAUGGAAAUCGGUUACUUACCCAUGGCUUGUUUACCCAUAGCACAUUGGUAGGUGUUUCUUGGAGAUUGAUUAUGAUGUGGAUACGGAACUAAACCGGCGCAAACUCCAAGUAAAGUAAAAGCUGCUAUUUCUAAAUGCGUGGUUUGCAUUGUAAUAUCUUUUUCAUAACAAGCUACAUAGCUGUCAUUUUCUUCGUUAACGUCCAAAAACUCGAUGAGUCCUAUAUAAAUAUAUAUGAAAAAAAAAUGAUGACUACUGAUUGCAGUUAAUUUACCAUUUUGCAAAAAAUCUUCGAAACCUCUUAUGCCUUUUUCCAAUUCAAUGAUGUGUUUAUCAUUAACUAGAGGACGACCUUCGUUUACUAUUAUGUAAGGUCUACAUAAUCUUCCGCUAUCUGAACUAAUAUAAACACAUUUAUGUAAAUGACUAGGGUAAAUGGAAACAUAACCAGAUAUAUAACCAUACCGACGACUCUUUCUAAAGACUUUGAUUAAUCUUUUAUAAUUUGUCGUAAUUCCCAAUAUAUUACCUGAAAAAUCACACUAUUUUAAUAUUUAAAACAUUAUUUUUAUUAGCAAUAAAAAACUUUAGUUUAAAAAUAUAUUUUCAAUCAUUUAAUCAAUAAAUUCAAAGAUCUUGGCACGCCUUAAUAAGUGCUUCAGUAGGUCUUGAGGUUUGCUGUUUCAACCUCUUAAUAAUUUUUGUUUACUGUUCUACUGGGCUGUUCUCUUUUAUAAGUUCUUCUUGUACCUCGUCUUUUUCUUCUACAAUGAUGGAAUAUCUAUAUUGAAAAUUACGUAUCCUUAAACUUUCAUAAAAAAAUUUCUAUAACUACCUAAAAUCACCUAUUACAAAUCUUUCAAAUUCGAAUAUAAUAGCUUAAUGUUAUUGAUCCCACCUAUGUUUAUGAUAUUAAAAUUUAAGCUCACCAUUGAGAAAAACCAUGUACGAUGAAGGGGCGUGAAUUCCAGAGCUAGCUACCAUGUUAAUACAUCUUACUCCUGCACUUUUUGCCAAUUUAAUAAGGGGAUGUUCAUUGAUUUCAGUAGUUAUGUGUGUCAUAAGGGCCAGAUUCUUGACAAGACCACAAGCCUAGUAAAAUUUAAUAGAUAAGUACAAAUCUAAACCAUCUAGCAUAAAAAAAAUUUACUUCUCCUUCAGGAGUGUCACUAGGACAUAACAUUCCCCACUGACUUGGUUGGAGAGAUCUCGGUCCUGAUACUUUCCUAGUUUUUUCAAAUUGAGAAUUGACCCUAGUCAUCAUUCCUAACGCUGAAAUAUAACUAAGCCUUGAUAAAACUUGUGUAACGCCCAAUCUUUCCAUUCUAAAUCGUUUUAUAGUCCAAUUACCCUAGAAACAAAAUAAAUUAUCUCUCUAUAAACUUCUAUAGUAAAAUAAGCUUUUUAGAGAGGUUUCUAUCCAAACACAUUUGUUUAUUGCCGGCAACUAUAUCAGAACAAUAGUGAAAGUUUGCAUUUUGGUUCAAAAGUGCCCAAUUCAGUUCCUUGCACUGGCAUCGAACCAUUUGUAUUCUAGAGAUAUAUUUCGAACUUGUGGAAGUUUUUUUUGAACCAUGCAUUACCACUUUGAAUGGGACGCCUAUGUUCACCAUACUGUGCAUUUGGUCUAUUGGUUUGUCACUGCUUUCAAGCUUUAUUACUUAUAGAAUCAAUCCUAAGUCAAAUUGCCGAGCUUCAAUUUUACUAUCUGGAUUAGCCUGUGGACGUCGCUAAAUGACUUUUUUUAGCAUAAGAUGAAGAGGAGGUAGAUUUAGUAACACCUCUAAGGCUGUGGUGAGACAGAUUGACAUUGCUCCUGUAAUACCCAGAUAUAUUAGCCAUCUUGUUCAGUUUUUACUGUCCUUUUGUUUUGACCAGCAAACAAGUGCUAUGUAUGUGAUAAUGGGUUUGAUGGUUUGGUAUACCUAGUAUACCAUCUUAGGCAUUAGUCCCCAUGUCUUGCUAUGUAUUUUGUUAUUAGACAGCUUAUUUGUUUCACUUUUAUUUUAUCAAUGUUUCUAGUAUUUUCCUUCGACUUCAAUAUUUCAUGGUUUGUUAUUUUAUUUUAUUAUUAGGUUUAGUUUUUAAUCGUAUUGAUGCCCUUUUAAUCUACUUUCUAAAUACUGAGAUGUCUGUCCUACGUUAGCAGCAUUACUUCUUUUGUUUUUGGGUGUUUUACAUUUUAGAUUUUUGGAGUAUUUGGAUAAUAGUGCAAUUUGAUCACUAAUAUAAAUGCUGUACUUACUGUUGAGAUAGCAAAUACCAAACAGCUUGUUAUCAAAUCAGAUCUCAUAUAUUUUACAACAUCAAACUGAGUGGCUCUAAUUUUUGGAAUAGUUUUUUCUGCAAUUGCUUUCAAUUCCCAGUUGAAUCUUUUGAAAACAUCUUCAAACAUUAGAGAAAUAAGAGAACCAGCUAAUUCUAACCUCUUAUUUCCAUAGUAGUCCCUAUCGUCUAAAAGUAGAUUAUCACUUUGAGCAUCAAUUACCUUUUUGACCUAGAAAUAUGUACACAAUUGAAAAAAAAGUACAAAAAUAAUAGUUAUUUACAUAAAUACAUAUUUUCGGUAAACUAUAAACUUCUUACCAUAAUUCCUAAAUAAAUGGCUUUUAAUCUAAAGUUAUAUUCCUUAACAGGCACAUGAGCAAGAACUGUAGUUGCUAAUAAAUCUCGGGCUUCAUCUGCUGGUGUCUUCAACUUAGAAGCUGCAGUAACAUAUCGUUUAACAACUAAUUUUGUUCCUAAAUAAGCUAAUGCAGAAUCUUGAGAAUAAAUUUUUAAAUUGUGGCAUUCUUCUAAAGUUGGAAUCAACUUAUGAACAUCUUUUAUUCCUAUUAAAUUACAUAUCUCCUCAUCAUUUAUUAUAUUUAGAGCUUUAAAUACCACAGAAAUCAGAAUAGGCUAGAAAAAAAAUUAUUAUCAUAUAUUUGGUAUGCCAUUGAUAACUUUUUAGUAGUUUUUCACAAAUUUAUGAAGAUGAUUCAUCACAAUAAAACAUUUAUCUUUAAUAAUAUUCAAAUCAUCUAUACUCUUACAUCAGAAAAAGUAUUAUGACCCAUAAAAUAUUUAUUUCCUUUGACGAAAACAUUAGUUCUUGACUUUUUUUCGUGAGUAGAACUAGUAACUUGACAUUGUACACCAUAUUUUCCUUCUUCAACAAGCAUUCUAUUUUUAGUUAACUGUUCUUGAAUGAGAAUAACUUUUUCUUGACCUUUAACUACAAAAUAACCACCGGGAUCCAGUGGACAUUCAUUCAUUUUAGCUAAUUCAUAUUCGGAUUUACCACUAAGAACACAAUUUGAGGAUUUCAACAUUAUAGGCAUUCUAAAACAAUUUAUAAUAGUAUUACAUACCAAUUUGUAA